ensembl:lncRNA ANKRD62P1-PARP4P3 ANKRD62P1-PARP4P3 readthrough, transcribed pseudogene
CCUGGAAACUGAGCUCCGUUAUGAAAGAGAGGCUCUCAAAGAAAAGACGUUGGGUAUAGAACACAUGCAAGGAGUCCUAAGCCGAACACAGUGUCCAUUGAAGGACAUUGAACACAUGUACCAAAAUGACCAACCUAUUUUGGAAAAAUAUGUGAGAAAGCAGCAGUCUAUAGAGGAUGGACUAUUUCAACUACAAAGCCAAAAUCUGUUGUAUCAACAGCAAUGUAAUGAUGCUCACAAGAAAGCUGACAAUCAGGAAAAAACAAUAAUUAAUAUCCAAGUCAAAUGUGAAGAUACUGUAGAAAAACUUCAAGCUGAGUGUAGAAAGCUAGAAGAGAACAAUAAGGGGUUGAUGAAGGAAUGCACUCUUUUAAAAGAAAGACAAUGCCAAUAUGAAAAAGAGAAAGAAAAAGGAGAAGUAGUCGUGAGAUAGCUUCAACGAGAAGUGGGUGAUGCCCUGAACAAACAUUUGCUGUCAGAAGCUAGGCUAGAGAUUUCAUCACAACGUCGUGUUAAUUUAGAAGAUGAGACACGAAGUUCAAAAAAGAAAUUAGGCCAGAGGAGAAGUCAAUUGCAAGAAAUGCAGGAUCAACGCACAGAGACUCUAAGAUGUGCUGAGGAGAUGCCAGACCACAUGCAAAAAUGCAGCAGGUGUACAAGGAAACAUAACUGUAGAAGUAGCUGAAGAGUUACUGCGCAUUUCUGUGUCAUCUACAUGCCAUGAAAGUCUUAAAAUCAAUUGUCAAUUUCUACAAAAUACCCGCUUGGAUUUGAACUGUGAUUGCAUUAUGUCAUGAGAAAGAAUGAACAUCUUAACAAUGAUGAGUCUCUCAACUCAUGAAUAAGCUCGAAGUUGUUUGAUCGUCUGAAGGCUUCUUCUCUCAACUCGUCAAAGUCAUUCUCCGCCCAGCUUUGUUCCGUUGCUGGUUUACUCUUCUAAGCUAUUUGUAACAAGAGCCUAAAAACUGGGUUUCCUUCAUUGAACUUCAUGCCUCUCUGGUUAUUGAAGAUGGCAAGCGAGGGGCACUCUGGAUACAGGUAUAAAAUGAAGAGAAUGUCUCCUGGACCUAAUUGCCACAAUGAGAUACUACAGUUUAUUCGCACCAGGGUGGAAAAAAAGGGAAUAGUGUUCAAAUCACUGAUGGAACUGGAUGACGCUUCUAUUUCCAGAAUAUUCCCUG